rnacentral:rRNA from 1 species
AUGACCCACAUAUCAGAUAUUAAACUGAUAAGAACAGAUACUACACUUGAUCUUAGCCAAAAGGCCGAGAAAGGUAUGAGUUGUUAGCCGUGCCCUCCCCUCUAUUUGUAGCCUCUCGCCCUCCCGUCCCCUCUUCGCUAGGCGAGGUGGUACUAA